AUAUCAGGAGGAACACCAAUGGCGAAGGCAGGACUCUGGCCCAUUACUGACACUGAGGAGCGAAAGCGUAGGGAGCGAACAGGAUUAGAUACCCUGGUAGUCCACGCCGUAAACGGUGGGCACUAGUUGUGGGGACCUUCCACGGUCUCUGCGACGCAGCUAACGCAUUAAGUGCCCCGCCUGGGGAGUACGAUCGCAAGAUUAAAACUCAAAGGAAUUGACGGGGCCCCGCACAAGCAGCGGAGCAUGCGGCUUAAUUCGACGCAACGCGAAGAACCUUACCAAGGCUUGACAUGUACAGGAAUAUGGCAGAGAUGUCAUAGCCGCAAGGUCUGUAUACAGGUGGUGCAUGGUUGUCGUCAGCCCGUGUCGUGAGAUGUUGGGUUAAGUCCCGCAACGAGCGCAACCCUCGUUCUGUGUUGCCAGCAUUUAGUUGGGGACUCACAGGAGACUGCCGGGGUUAACUCGGAGGAAGGUGGGGAUGACGUCAAAUCAUCAUGCCCCUUAUGUCUUGGGCUGCACGCAUGCUACAAUGGCUGGUACAAACGGCUGCAAUACCGCAAGGUGGAGCGAAUCCGAGAAAGCCAGUCUCAGUUCGGAUUGGGGUCUGCAACUCGACCCCAUGAAGUCGGAGUUGCUAGUAAUCGUAGAUCAGCAACGCUACGGUGAAUACGUUCCCGGGGCUUGUACACACCGCCCGUCACGUCACGAAAGUCGGUAACACCCGAA
rnacentral:rRNA from 1 species